AACCGACACAGGUGGUCAGGUAGAGAAUACUCAGGCGCUUGAGAGAACUCGGGUGAAGGAACUAGGCAAAAUGGUGCCGUAACUUCGGGAGAAGGCACGCUGGCGGUAGGUAAAGUCCCUCGCGGACGGCGCUGAAGCCAGUCGAAGAUACCAGCUGGCUGCAACUGUUUAUUAAAAACACAGCACUGUGCAAACACGAAAGUGGACGUAUACGGUGUGACGCCUGCCCGGUGCUGGAAGGUUAAUUGAUGGGGU
rnacentral:rRNA from 1 species